CUAUUUAAAUAGAUGGUUGCUUCAAUUAUGUUUACAUAAUUGGGGAGGAAAGUCCGGACUCCUAGAGGCCUUUUUGAGGCUUCGUGAUGAUAGUGGGUAACGCCCACCAGCUUUUAAAGCGAGGGAAAGUGCCACAGAGACAAUACUAGACAAAGAAAUUUGUUGAAAGGUGAAAAGAUCGUUGGUGUUAUUUGAUUUCAUUUGGCUACAACGUUUGCCCUCUGGUGACAGAGGUGCCAUGGUAAACCCUAUCAGGGAGCAAGAGUAAAGCGUAUUUAUACGUAAAAAGUAACUCGCCAGAUCUUAAUAGCAAUAUUAAGACUAGAUAAAUAACCAUCCACGACAGAAUCCGGCUUAUCGUUUAAUUUAGCUA
rnacentral:RNase_P_RNA from 1 species